GAUUCCCUUAGUAACGGCGAGCGAAAAGGGAACUGUCCAGCGCCAAGUCUUGACACCCAGGUGCUCAAGAGAUGCGGCGUUAAUGUGUUGGCGCCUCGUGUUCCGACCGGCCUUUCAAGUUCGCUUGACAGCGACAUCCAGAGCGGGUGCUAGGCCCAUAGAGAGGCUGGUCCGGUCCACGCCGGCCAAUGCAUUCUAGAGUCAGGUUGCUUGAGAGUGCAGCUUAAAGUCGGUGGUAAACUCCAUCCAAGACUAAAUAUGACAGCGAGACCGAUAGCAAACAAGUACCGUGAGGGAAAGUUGCAAAGCACUUUGAAGAGAGAGUUCAACAGUACGUGAAACCACUGGCAGGCAAACAGAUGGAACCACGAAUGUGCGCUCUGGUCGAUUCAAUCACCGCUGUGGGUUAGCUGGGACGAGCAAGGGUCUCUCCGGAGGCUGGCUCGUCCCGGUUGCGACCUUCGGCGGUGGUGCAUUUCGUGCCAGGGAUGCUAAGCCACGUUCGACUAGAGUUGGAACGGCCGUAGGAUGGGAUCUGGGAAAGGUGGCCGGCACGUGCUUGCGCGUGUCGGUGUUACAGGCCCGGAUCGGAACCGUUGCCAAACCGACUGGUCGAUGAAAGURCUCCCUCGGGAGUAAGACUGCCGCUGCCCGAUGCAGCUAGUCAGUGUUUCGCGGUGUUCUUGCAGUGCUUCGUUGUGCGACAAGACGCGGCAACAGCGCGGGCUAGUUGUGRCCUGCGGGCGGCAGUGGAACUGUGGUGCGAGUAGGUCGGUGUCCAUCUGACCCGUCUUGAAACACGGACCAAGGAGCCUAUCAUAUACGCGAGUCGCUCGGUCUUGAACAGGCCCGGGAGGCGRAAUGAAAGUAACUGGCUAUGAGACUUCGGUCGCAAUAGCGGUACGCCUACUUCGUUUAUUGGCGAUCAGGCGUAAUCGGAGCGUAUACGAUGGUACCCGAAAGAUGGUGAACUAUGCCUGGGCAAGACGAAGCCAGAGGAAACUCUGGUGGAGGUCUGUAGCGAUUCUGACGUGCAAAUCGAUCGUCAGACCUGGGUAUAGGGGCGAAAGACUAAUCGAACCAUCUAGUAGCUGGUUCCCUCCGAAGUUUCCCUCAGGAUAGCAGGCGCUCAGAAUGUCCAGUGUCAUCCGGUAAAGCUAAUGAUUAGAGGUCUUGGGGUUGAAACGACCUCAACCUAUUCUCAAACUUUAAAUGGGUGAGAUGGUUGACUUUCUUGAYUGAAGCCAACCAUUUGCAUGUGAGUGCCUAGUGGGCCAUUUUUGGUAAGCAGAACUGGCGCUGUGGGAUGAACCAAACGUCGAGAUAAGGAAUCGAAUGCGUACGCUCAUCAGACCCCAUGAAAGGUGUUGGUUGCUAUAGACAGCAGGACGGUGGCCAUGGAAGUCGGAAUCC
rnacentral:rRNA from 1 species